AACGCCGCGCUUAAGAAGAGAGCUCUCACACUCACCGCACCUGGGAUCGCCACGAAGGAACUCGCUCGUGAGACAGAUCCGUUCAGCAGUCAACCAGCGCCGGCGAAAAGGAGAAGAAAAAGCACGUCGCCAACUUUGCUGUAGCCUGCCCAGAAUACGCCCAACCUACGUACAGCUGGCAACCAAGGGAAGCCCAACUUACAGGUAUUGCUGGCCUAGGCACCGGAACCGCCUCUAUCAUUCUCCAACGCCAAAGCUUCUCCCACCUGAGAGCUGCUAUAGACGAAGAUUUAGCCCGCAUUGAAACCUCCAUCACCCAUCUUGAGAAAUCCCUUACAUCUUUAUCGGAGGUUGUUCUCCAAAA